rnacentral:rRNA from 1 species
GAGCUUGCUCCCGGAUGUUAGCGGCGGACGGGUGAGUAACACGUGGGUAACCUGCCUGUAAGACUGGGAUAACUCCGGGAAACCGGAGCUAAUACCGGAUAGUUCCUUGAACCGCAUGGUUCAAGGAUGAAAGACGGUUUCGGCUGUCACUUACAGAUGGACCCGCGGCGCAUUAGCUAGUUGGUGAGGUAACGGCUCACCAAGGCGACGAUGCGUAGCCGACCUGAGAGGGUGAUCGGCCACACUGGGACUGAGACACGGCCCAGACUCCUACGGGAGGCAGCAGUAGGGAAUCUUCCGCAAUGGACGAAAGUCUGACGGAGCAACGCCGCGUGAGUGAUGAAGGUUUUCGGAUCGUAAAGCUCUGUUGUUAGGGAAGAACAAGUGCAAGAGUAACUGCUUGCACCUUGACGGUACCUAACCAGAAAGCCACGGCUAACUACGUGCCAGCAGCCGCGGUAAUACGUAGGUGGCAAGCGUUGUCCGGAAUUAUUGGGCGUAAAGGGCUCGCAGGCGGUUUCUUAAGUCUGAUGUGAAAGCCCCCGGCUCAACCGGGGAGGGUCAUUGGAAACUGGGAAACUUGAGUGCAGAAGAGGAGAGUGGAAUUCCACGUGUAGCGGUGAAAUGCGUAGAGAUGUGGAGGAACACCAGUGGCGAAGGCGACUCUCUGGUCUGUAACUGACGCUGAGGAGCGAAAGCGUGGGGAGCGAACAGGAUUAGAUACCCUGGUAGUCCACGCCGUAAACGAUGAGUGCUAAGUGUUAGG